rnacentral:rRNA from 1 species
CCUACGGGUGGCAGCAGUAGGGAAUAUUGCUCAAUGGGGGAAACCCUGAAGCAGCAACGCCGCGUGGAGGAUGAAGGUUUCGGAUUGUAAAACUCUUUUGGUAGAAAAGAUAAUGACGGUAUCUUACGAAUAAGCACCGGCUAACUCCGGGCCAGCAGCCGCGGGAAUACGGAGGGUGCAAGCGUUACCCGGAACCACUGGGCGUAAAGAGAGCGUAGGCGGGAUAGCAAGUCAGAUGUGAAAUCCUAUGGCUUAACCAUAGAACUGCAUUUGAAACUGUUAUUCUAGAGUAUGGGAGAGGUAGGUGGAAUUCUUGGUGUAGGGGUAAAAUCCGUAGAGAUCAAGAGGAAUACUCAUUGCGAAGGCGACCUGCUAGAACAUAACUGACGCUGAUGCGCGAAAGCGUGGGGAGCAAACAGGAUUAGAUACCCGAGUAGUC